AGCGAACGCUGGCGGCAGGCCUAACACAUGCAAGUCGAACGAAUUCUUCGGAGUUAGUGGCGGACGGGUGAGUAACACGUGGGAACGUGCCUUUAGGUUCGGAAUAACUCAGGGAAACUUGUGCUAAUACCGAAUGUGCCCUUCGGGGGAAAGAUUUAUCGCCUUUAGAGCGGCCCGCGUCUGAUUAGCUAGUUGGUGAGGUAAAGGCUCACCAAGGCGACGACCAGUAGCUGGUCUGAGAGGAUGAUCAGCCACAUUGGGACUGAGACACGGCCCAAACUCCUACGGGAGGCAGCAGUGGGGAAUCUUGCGCAAUAGGCGAAAGCCUGACGCAGCCAUGCCGCGUGAAUGAUGAAGGUCUUAGGAUUGUAAAAUUCUUUCACCGGGGACGAUAAUGACGGUACCCGGAGAAGAAGCCCCGGCUAACUUCGUGCCAGCCGCCGCGGUAA
rnacentral:rRNA from 1 species